rnacentral:rRNA from 1 species
GAUGAACGCUGGCGGCGUGCAUAACACAUUCAAGUCGAACGGAGUUAUAUGAGUAGCAAUACGAAUAUAACUUAGUGGCGGACGGGUGAGUAACGCGUGAGCAACCUGCCUUUCAAAGCGGGAUAACGUUUGGAAACGGACGCUAAUACCGCAUAACGUACCGACACCGCAUGAUGAUGGUACCAAAAGGGAAACCUGAUGAAAGAUGGGCUCGCGUCUGAUUAGAUAGUUGGUGAGGUAACGGCUCACCAAGUCUACGAUCAGUAGCCGGACUGAGAGGUCGAACGGCCACAUUGGAACUGAGAUACGGUCCAG